UUGUAGUUUCUUGGGAUUUAUUUGAGUUAUUAUUUUUUAUAAAAAAUAAUUUUUUGUUUGAGUAAUUUUUAGUGAAAUAAUUUAAUUUCCUAUAGUUUAUUGAUCUGUGAGGGUUUUAUUAUUUUAAUUGUAAAAGUUUAUUUUAUUUAUAGUACCUUUUGUAUCAGGGCUUUUUAAUUUAAAAUAAUUAUUUAUUUUUCCCGAAUUGUAAAUAGUUAAUGCAAUAUGUUAGUGGCUGUUUCAAAAUUCUUAACAAUAUUGUGUUGGAUGAUAUAUUUGAGUCAUUUUUCUAUAUCUGGUUAUUGAAGAUUUAAAUUUAAUUUAUUUAAUAAUUGUGGUUUUAAAUUUUAUUAAUUUCAUAGUUAUUAAAACGUUAAAAGGGGAUUAGCUCUUUUUAUAUUCUAUAAAUGAUUAUUUUUUAUUUUUUGUAGGAUUAGAAUUUUCUAUCAUUGAUAAUGUUAUAAUGUAUUUUAUAAUUAUUUGGAUUUUUAUUUUUUUAGAUUUUUAUUCAAUAAUUAAUUUAAUUUUUUAUUUUAUUUAUAAUGAUUAGAUUAGUAAAUUAGGCAAUUCAUUUUUAUGAACUUGGCAAAUUUUACUUCCACCUGUUUAUCAAAAACAUGUCCUAUAGUUAUUUAUUUUAGGUCAGGCCUGCCCACUGAUUAUUUAAAUGGCCGCGGUAUUUUGACCGUGCAAAGGUAGCAUAAUCAUUUGUCUCUUAAUUGGAGGCUAGAAUGAAUGGUUAAAUGAGAAGUUUCCUUUAUUUUUUUGAAUUGUUGAAUUUAAUUUUUGAGUCAAAAAGCUUAAAUUUUUUUAUGGGACGAGAAGACCCUAUAGAACUUUACUUGUUUAAUUUUUAUUUUUAUUUAGUUAAUUUUUAUUUUGAAUUUUUGGCAAGUUUAGUUGGGGCGACUUUGAAAAUUUAUUAACUUUCAUAUAUAUUUGUUCACUAAUUUGUGUUUUUUUGAUCCAUUUUAAUGAUUAAUAGUUUAAGUUACCUUAGGGAUAACAGCGUAAUUUGUUUAGAGAGUUCUUAUCGAUAAAUAAGUUUGCGACCUCGAUGUUGAAUUAAGAUUACCCAAGGGUGCAGAAUUUCUUGUGGUAGGUCUGUUCGACCUUUAAAUUCUUACAUGAUUUGAGUUCAAACCGGCGUGAGCCAGGUUGGUUUCUAUCUUUAAAUUUUUUAAUUAUCUUAGUACGAGAGGAUUGGGUAGUUGAUUAAUUAUUUAUUUUUUGUUUAAUAUU
rnacentral:rRNA from 1 species